GCCCAGCUGAGGACAAUAUAUUAGAUGGAUUUUGGGGGCAGGGAGUUGGAAGAGGAGCUUGCUCUGUCCACUCCACACAUCGACCUGGUAUUGCAGUACUUCCAGAAACGGUGC
rnacentral:snRNA from 1 species